GGCUUAGAGUCGCAUUUAUUAUUGUAAAAACAUUUUACAUAAUCUUUGUCGCAAAUUUCUAAUCCGUAAGAAAAUGGUCACGUAGUAAUAAAUAGCUUUAUUUUUGUAACAGAUGUCUCAAUUUUUUUGGCUUUUUUAAUUUUUUCAAUUUUUCUCUCAUUGAAAAAAUGUCAGCUAUUUUGUAAUUAUUUUCAUUGAAAUCAUUGUCUUUAUAAAUACCAAACUGAAACAACGUGUGAAGCCUAGUUUAUUUAUUACUCUUAAGCUCUUGCGCUUACUAAACGAUUCAAUUUUCGUAUCAACAAUGUGGCUUAAUGUUAUUCUUCAGAAUAGGAUGUUUACACAGAGUACUGUUUUGUAUGAAAUUGAAAUCAUUUGGAAAAGAGUGAAACGACAUUUUUCUCGAUAAAACCCGAUAUCGCACGUAGAUUAAUGCCCCGAAUCACCGAGGAGCGAGUCGUUUACCGCCCGCUAGGAGGGGGUGGUUAUUCUCAAACCCGACGAUCGUACACUGCCCGACAUGGCUUGCAUGUGAGAUCGCCACAAUGUCGUGUUUUAGUUUAUAGAGCAUAACAACAAAAUCCAGUCAGCCUGUCGUCGGGCCUUUACAUUCAGCUCGUAUGCUUUAUGGCAAAAGAGGCUUUAGUUUCCACAAAUAAUGUCUCAUUCAACUUUUCCUAUUAUUCGAAAGAAAAAAAACCCCUUCUGACUGCGAAAAUCCACAUGCCCUAAUCUUUUUACCCCCUCGCUCUCUCACUCUCUCUCCCUCGCGAAUGCUGGUUUUUGUUUGGCCCCGGUCUAUCUUUAUUAUAUCUCCUAUGCAUGUUUUAGUAUAUCUUGGCGAGUUUUAUUAAGCAUUUUGUUACACAGAUGUAUGGGUUUUAAAUCAUCCUUAAAAUUUGACUGUUUUCACUCAAUUUGCGACCCAGAGAAACAGUUGUUACAUGACACAGGCAUGAAGGAUUUUCCGCACAUGGAUUUUGUUAACGGUUUUUUGAAGUUGUCCUGUUUCAAAUUAUCUUUUAAUUUUGAAAAAGAGAAUAGUACGGUACAAUGAAGUUAGUAAUCGAGUAAACCUGAGUGCAGAAGAAGUACUUGCGAUACAAUUGAUGCAUUGAAGAUUUCCCGUCUCUCUUUAAGUAAAACAAGAUUAGUUCCUUAUCGAAUAUCGAUAUAUCAUGAGUACCUAAUAGCAUUAUAAUCUUAUUUAUUUGCAGGUUAAAUUGUUUUACACAUGGAAUGAAUGGGUUGCUGAUAUGUUGUACUGUUGCUGUGGCAAAGAAAAUUAGUCUACUUCUGCUUGUCAAGUUUGAAAUCUUAAAACCCUGCAGUCAACUUCUGAUAAGCCAACGUUUGAUGUUCUUUUCCCCCGUUGAAAUCGACAUUGUUGGAUUAAAAAUUUAAUAACAUAACCAAAUUAAUUUCCACUCUAAUUACCAUAUGUUAUCAUUGCAAUUAAAUGUUUCAUAUACAAAGCGAUCCAAAAUGUUUGAAUUUAGAACUCUUUUCGACGGGAGGUAGAAAUGUGAAUUAAAAGAUGAAACGGAUCAAUCUAUUUAUUAUCUUGUUUUAUAUAAAAGUCUAUGCUAAUUUCCACGAUAAAAUCAAAAUAAAAGAAUCUCAUUUAAGAAGAGCGUUAUAAAUGUAGUGAUAUAGUGAUAUGCAAACUAACAAAACACGAUUAAGAUGUUAUUUUGUUCUUUGACGAGAAUUUCGCCAACCCCCGGUGAAACCCUUGUCUAUCAAAGCGAUCGCGUGAAGACCUUUUGUGGCUUAUCGGGAUUCCUGCCCCGUUCUAAGAUAGCAUUAAGUGUAAUUAAGUAUACACAUGCAGACUUGAAAACAGCAUCUAUUCGCCUUCUAUGAUAGAGUUAUUUCUUUACUGUACGUGAAAAUCGACGAACAAUAAACCGGUGUAUGCCUUUAUUAUCAUAUGAUUCAUGGUUUUUGUUGUUGCAACCAGCAUCCGAUAUAAAAUAUCUACAAGAAAGAGUCGGAAGACUGUUUUAUUUUGGUAUUGAAUGUUUUUAAAUUUCAGGUAAUAAAAAUUUGAAAAUUAUAAAUCAUAAUGGAUGACUAAAUUUUAUUUAAUCAUUAUCGAAUAUUACUAAUUAUAAAAAUAUAAAUUGAAGAGAAUGUUUGAUAAAUGAUUUGGUAAUAAACGAAAAUGUAAAGUUAAGACAGGGGUCUAUUUCUUCUUUUUAUUUGUAAGGUCUUUUUCGUUUAUUAUAUUUUCUUAAAUAAUGGAAUACAACCUUUUCAAAAACAGAGGAUUGGAAAUACAUGUUGAAAUGCAUAUGUUGUUACGUUUUUCGAUUAACGAUUUAUGAAAUUAUUUAAAACAAAUCAUACUUAUGUAUUCAAAAAAUACAAAAAUAUCAUCUUCUUUCAAAACAAUAGUGUGUCAAUUGAUAAAAGUUAGAUAUAUUCAAAAAAUACAAAAAAAAUUAUCUUCUCUCAAAUCAAUGGUGUGUCAAUUGAUAAAAGUAAGAUAAAAUAGGAUUUUCCGGAAAAAAGUCAGCCAUCUGUAGCGAUUUGACCCUAUGAAACUUUUUGUGCACGUAACGUGUGGUUUGAUCAUUUCAUUAAAAUCCAAAAGUCAAAAACUAAAAACUGAAACUAACAUAAGAGCCAUCGAAAGUAAUAAGGAAUGGGGAAAAGGGGGAGAGUGUAUGUAUCGGGGUGUCGUGUUUAUUUCAAUUGGGAUGUUUGUUUCCGUCUCUUAGCGGCAUGUGAGCGUUCCCAGACCACUUAGGAAAUAGAUUUGAUUCACAAGUGCCGAACAAACUGUUUUUUUUCUAAAACCAAUCGGUACCAAAAAAUGUGCAUUUGAUUAGAAGAUGACAUAUGUUCCCUCUAAUAAAAAUAUUAGAAAAAAGUACUUUCGUAAGAUAUUUUCCGUGUAUUUUCUGUAAGAAGCGCUCAGUCAAAGAAGAACAGACAAUAUACAUCUCCCCUGACAGAAAGGAAAGCAUUUAGCUGGGUACAAAUGUUUCAUAAGCACUUGAGAGAUCACAGUGGGGUCGGGGUGACGCCUGUGUUUGAUUACUAUACAGAGAGAAAUGGUUCUCUCUUGAGAUUUCGACAGCUGACUGCAGGUCGUUUACAAGGAUUCAAAAUGACAGAAAAUGUUACAAGACGCAAAGCUCAAUCAUGCUCUAUUACGACCUACGUGGAUAGUUUUUAAUGAUUUGAUCGGACGAUAAUAAAGAAGCAAUUACCGUUUCUGUAUGAAAUAUAGCGGGAACCUAGCGUGCCCUUCCGGUGAACAAAUUGAAAACCUAACGCAAUUCUUACAAAACGCACACAGAAAGCCAAGUCUUGCUCCACAGUUCCGGCGGAAAAAGGCUACAGAUGCGAUAUAAACCAGUUUCGGGAAUGAAAAUGUUAUCUACUUUGUCAUCAAGAUUACGUUACAUGUUAAAAAAUAUUUUUUUGGCAUGGAGGAAAAAAAUGAACACAGUGUUUUAAAUUUUCUUUUUGUUGGUGUUCUGUGUAGUGAAAGAAAAUAAAAAUAUUUCAUGCAUUCUGUU